CUCCAUGUGUAGCGGUGAAAUGCGUAGAUAUAUGGAAGAACACCAGUGGCGAAAGCGGCUCUCUGGUCUGUAACUGACGCUGAGGUUCGAAAGCGUGGGUAGCAAACAGGAUUAGAUACCCUGGUAGUCCACGCCGUAAACGAUGAGUGCUAAGUGUUGGAGGGUUUCCGCCCUUCAGUGCUGCAGCUAACGCAUUAAGCACUCCGCCUGGGGAGUACGGUCGCAAGACUGAAACUCAAAGGAAUUGACGGGGGCCCGCACAAGCGGUGGAGCAUGUGGUUUAAUUCGAAGCAACGCGAAGAACCUUACCAGGUCUUGACAUCUUCUGACAAUUCCAGAGAUGGAACGUUCCCUUCGGGGACAGAAUGAC
rnacentral:rRNA from 1 species